CUUGAGGUUCUACUUUUUUGAGUAGGGCCUCCUCCUACUUUCUAGGGCUGUAAUUUCUACCGUCGACUUCAGCAAUAUCCCCUGAUCUCAGUCCCUACUUUUUUCUACUUUUUCUGGUACGUAGGACCUACUGUUGGAUCUUAUUUUUUCCAAUUCUUCUUUUCCCUUUAAUUCCCAGUAUAUUUGUUCGCCUUAGAUUCUCUGUAUCAGUCCUAAAUCAUCUCUCUACUCCUGUGUGCGCAUCUCUCUUAACUCUCUCUCUCUCCCCAGUGGCUCACUCUGGCUCUUUCCAGUAGCUCUCCAGCAAAUGCGGCCAGUGGCUCCGCCGGCUGAGCCCAUCGAGGUGGUUGCUGCCACGGCCUGUCACAGGCCGGCGACGCGCAAGAUCCCGGCCAUGGCAGCCUCCACCUCACUCCGAGCUGUGCUGGUCGUCGAAUUGGCGGCGGGCGAGCUCGAUUCGGCGGCGCUGGUGGCAGAUUUGGCAGCUCAAGGUGGUGACAAGACAGCACACCAUGUGCUGCUGAAUCUGCGGCUCGAUCUGCAGCGCGGGUAGCGGAGGAGGUGCAGGGGUGCAGCGCUCGUCGAAGCGGGGCUCGAUCUUGUGCAGGAGGGGGCUCCGCGGGGUAGGCACGCCACAGAGAUCGCAGCGGCGGCGGCGGCCCUUGGCUAUGGUUUCGGCGACUGGAAGCUCGGACGCAUCUGCAGGGAUGGAUAGGCACACCUCGAGGACAAAGGGAAGGGCGGAGGUGUGCCUGAACUGCGGCCGUCGGCUCAUCUGCGCAUGUUGUGGUGGUCAAUGAAGCGGCGACGCUCGUGGAGGAAGGAGGGGAGGAACGAGAACGUACUGGCUGGAGACGGACUCAACGAGCGAGUAGGGGCAUCCCUACCCACCCGUGGGAGAAGGGGCUCAACAGUACAAAGUAAGAGCCUCUCCAAAAUAAGAACUCGAGUAGAGAGAUCCUGAUUGAGUAGAUUUUUUUCUCUCGGUCCUAUUUUUCUGGAGUUGCUCUUAAUCUAUCUAUUCUUCGCUAA